UACGUAGGUGGCAAGCGUUAUCCGGAAUUAUUGGGCGUAAAGAGCGCGCAGGUGGUUAAUUAAGUCUGGUGUAAAAGGCAGUGGCUCAACCAUUGUAUGCAUUGGAAACUGGUAGACUUGAGUGCAGGAGAGGAGAGUGGAAUUCCAUGUGUAGCGGUGAAAUGCGUAGAUAUAUGGAGGAACACCGGUGGCGAAAGCGGCUCUCUGGCCUGUAACUGACACUGAGGCUCGAAAGCGUGGGGAGCAAACAGG
rnacentral:rRNA from 1 species